rnacentral:rRNA from 1 species
AUUGAACGCUGGCGGCAGGCCUAACACAUGCAAGUCGAGCGAGCGGCGGACGGGUGAGUAAUGUCUGGGAAACUGCCUGAUGGAGGGGGGUAACUACUGGAAACGGUAGCUAUUACCGCAUACCAUCAGAUGUGCCCAGAUGGGAUUAGCUAGUGGGUGGGGUAACGGCUCACCUAGGCGACGAUCCCUAGCUGGUCUGAGAGGAUGACCAGCCACACUGGGACUGAGACACGGUACAGACUCCUACGGGAGGCAGCAGUGGGGAAUAUUGCACAAUGGGCGCAAGCCUGAUGCAGCCAUGCCGCGGGUGUGAAGAAGGCCUUCGGGUUGUAAAGCACUUUCAGCGGGGAGGCGUUACCCGCAGAAGAAGCACCGGCUAACUCCGUGCCAGCCGCCGCGGUAAUUC